AGUGAACGCUGGCGGUAGGCCUAACACAUGCAAGUCGAACGGCAGCACAGUAAGAGCUUGCUCUUACGGGUGGCGAGUGGCGGACGGGUGAGGAAUACAUCGGAAUCUACUUUUUCGUGGGGGAUAACGUAGGGAAACUUACGCUAAUACCGCAUACGACCUACGGGUGAAAGCAGGGGAUCUUCGGACCUUGCGCGAUUGAAUGAGCCGAUGUCGGAUUAGCUAGUUGGCGGGGUAAAGGCCCACCAAGGCGACGAUCCGUAGCUGGUCUGAGAGGAUGUUCAGCCACACUGGAACUGAGACACGGUCCAGACUCCUACGGGAGGCAGCAGUGGGGAAUAUUGGACAAUGGGCGCAAGCCUGAUCCAGCCAUACCGCGUGGGUGAAGAAGGCCUUCGGGUUGUAAAGCCCUUUUGUUGGGAAAGAAAAGCAGCAGGUUAAUACCCCGCUGUUCUGACGGUGCCCAAAGAAUAAGCACCGGCUAACUUCGUG
rnacentral:rRNA from 1 species